CUGAAGGCUACUUGCUGUCUCUUUUUCUCUCUAGUUUUUAUGCUGAUUGCGGCGACGAUGCUCCGUUCUCUUGGUGGUUGCCGGCGGCGAUGGUGGCGGCGGCGGCGGCGGUGGCGGCGGUGGCUGUUCCGUUGAUGUUGAAGUCGGUGGCGUGUGGAGGAGGAGGAGGAGGAGGAGGAGGUGAGGUGGGAGGGUUGAAUGGCGGGGCGGCGGCGGCGGCGGCGGAGGAGGAGGAGGCGCUGCGGCGGGCGCUGUGGCCGCCGAGGUAGUUGUGCUUGUUGUUGUGCAUCCAGACCUUGAAGACGCCCUUGCCGACGCCGAUGUCG
rnacentral:lncRNA from 1 species